rnacentral:rRNA from 1 species
AAAAAAGGUAAGCUACUAAGAGCGAAUGGUGGAUGCCUUGACUGGUAAAGGCGAUGAAGGACGUACUAGACUGCGAUAAGCUACGGGGAGCUGUCAAGAAGCUUUGAUCCGUAGAUUUCCGAAUGGGGCAACCCAAUGUAUAGAGAUAUACAUUACCUAUAUAGGAGCGAACGAGGGGAAUUGAAACAUCUUAGUACCCUCAGGAAAAGAAAUCAAUAGAGAUUGCGUCAGUAGCGGCGAGCGAAAGCGCAAGAGGGCAAACCCAGUGCUUGCACUGGGGGUUGUAGGACUGCAAUGUGCAAGAGGUAAGUUUAGCAGAACAUUCUGGAAAGUAUAACCAUAGAGGGUGAUAGUCCCGUAUGCGAAAAACAAACCUUAGCUAGCAGUAUCCUGAGUAGGGCGGGACACGAGGAAUCCUGUCUGAAUCUGGGUCGACCACGAUCCAACCCUAAAUACUAAUACCAGAUCGAUAGUGCACAAGUACCGUGAGGGAAAGGUGAAAAGAACUGAGGUGAUCAGAGUGAAAUAGAACUUGAAACCAUUUGCUUACAAUCAUUCAGAGCACUAUGUAGCAAUACAGUGUGAUGGACUGCCUUUUGCAUAAUGAGCCUGCGAGUUGUGGUGUCUGGCAAGGUUAAGCAAACGCGAAGCCGUAGCGAAAGCGAGUCUGAAUAGGGCGCUUAGUCAGAUGCUGCAGACCCGAAACGAAGUGAUCUAUCCAUGAGCAAGUUGAAGCUAGUGUAAGAACUAGUGGAGGACUGAACCCAUAGGCGUUGAAAAGCCCCGGGAUGACUUGUGGAUAGGGGUGAAAGGCCAAUCAAACUUCGUGAUAGCUGGUUCUCUCCGAAAUAUAUUUAGGUAUAGCGUUGUGUCGUAAUAUAAGGGGGUAGAGCACUGAAUGGGCUAGGGCAUACACCAAUGUACCAAACCCUAUCAAACUCCGAAUACCUUAUAUGUAAUCACAGCAGUCAGGCGGCGAGUGAUAAAAUCCGUCGUCAAGAGGGAAACAACCCAGACUACCAGCUAAGGUCCCUAAAUCUUACUUAAGUGGAAAACGAUGUGAAGUUACUUAAACAACCAGGAGGUUGGCUUAGAAGCAGCCAUCCUUUAAAGAAAGCGUAAUAGCUCACUGGUCUAGUGAUUUUGCGCGGAAAAUAUAACGGGGCUAAAGUAAGUACCGAAGCUGUAGACUUGUACACAACUUAGAUUAUUUAAGUUUAGAAUAUGAGAAACUAAGUUAUAUGUUUAGUUAUAUUUUUACUGAUUUUUAUAGAGUAAAGAUAGAAAUAAAACUUAGUAAAAUCAGUAAAAAUAUUCUUAGACUAAAGUUAAGUAGUUUAAGUUGUGUGCAAGUGGUAGGAGAGCGUUCUAUUUGCGUCGAAGGUAUACCGGUAAGGAGUGCUGGAGCGAAUAGAAGUGAGCAUGCAGGCAUGAGUAGCGAUAAUUAAUGUGAGAAUCAUUAACGCCGUAAACCCAAGGUUUCCUACGCGAUGCUCGUCAUCGUAGGGUUAGUCGGGUCCUAAGUCGAGUCCGAAAGGGGUAGACGAUGGCAAAUUGGUUAAUAUUCCAAUACCAACAUUAGUGUGCGAUGGAAGGACGCUUAGGGCUAAGGGGGCUAGCGGAUGGAAGUGCUAGUCUAAGGUCGUAGGAGGUUGUACAGGCAAAUCCGUAUAACAAUACUCCGAGAACUGAAAGGCUUUUUGAAGUCUUCGGAUGGAUAGAAGAACCCCUGAUGCCGUCGAGCCAAGAAAAGUUUCUAAGUUUAGCUAAUGUUGCCCGUACCGUAAACCGACACAGGUGGGUGGGAUGAGUAUUCUAAGGCGCGUGGAAGAACUCUCUUUAAGGAACUCUGCAAAAUAGCACCGUAUCUUCGGUAUAAGGUGUGGUUAGCUUUGUAUUAGGAUUUACUCCGAAAGCAAGGAAACUUACAACAAAGAGUCCCUCCCGACUGUUUACCAAAAACACAGCACUCUGCUAACUCGUAAGAGGAUGUAUAGGGUGUGACGCCUGCCCGGUGCUCGAAGGUUAAUUGAUGGGGUUAGCAUUAGCGAAGCUCUUGAUCGAAGCCCGAGUAAACGGCGGCCGUAACUAUAACGGUCCUAAGGUAGCGAAAUUCCUUGUCGGUUAAAUACCGACCUGCAUGAAUGGCGUAACGAGAUGGGAGCUGUCUCAAAGAGGGAUCCAGUGAAAUUGUAGUGGAGGUGAAAAUUCCUCCUACCCGCGGCAAGACGGAAAGACCCCGUGGACCUUUACUACAGCUUGACACUGCUACUUGGAUAAGAAUGUGCAGGAUAGGUGGGAGGCUUUGAGUAUAUGACGCCAGUUGUAUAUGAGCCAUUGUUGAGAUACCACUCUUUCUUAUUUGGGUAGCUAACCAGCUUGAGUUAUCCUCAAGUGGGACAAUGUCUGGUGGGUAGUUUGACUGGGGCGGUCGCCUCCCAAAUAAUAACGGAGGCUUACAAAGGUUGGCUCAGAACGGUUGGAAAUCGUUCGUAGAGUAUAAAGGUAUAAGCCAGCUUAACUGCAAGACAUACAAGUCAAGCAGAGACGAAAGUCGGUCUUAGUGAUCCGGUGGUUCUGUGUGGAAGGGCCAUCGCUCAAAGGAUAAAAGGUACCCCGGGGAUAACAGGCUGAUCUCCCCCAAGAGCUCACAUCGACGGGGAGGUUUGGCACCUCGAUGUCGGCUCAUCGCAUCCUGGGGCUGGAGCAGGUCCCAAGGGUAUGGCUGUUCGCCAUUUAAAGCGGUACGCGAGCUGGGUUCAGAACGUCGUGAGACAGUUCGGUCCCUAUCUGCCGUGGGCGUAAGAAGAUUGAAGAGAUUUGACCCUAGUACGAGAGGACCGGGUUGAACAAACCACUGGUGUAGCUGUUGUUCUGCCAAGAGCAUCGCAGCGUAGCUAAGUUUGGAAAGGAUAAACGCUGAAAGCAUCUAAGCGUGAAGCCAACUCUAAGAUGAAUCUUCUCUAAGCUCUCUAGAAGACUACUAGUUUGAUAGGCUGGGUGUGUAAUGGAUGAAAGUCCUUUAGCUGACCAGUACUAAUAGAGCGUUUGGCUUAUCUUUAAUAAAGCAU